GGCAUAGACCGCGUCGGCCUUAGU
rnacentral:miRNA from 10 species